rnacentral:ncRNA from 1 species
AGGUUUUAUUCUUGCUUACUUUGUUUAUUUUAACUUUAUUUUAUAUGUAUAUUUUUGUGUAAUUAGUGAUAUAAUUAUUCCUUAAGGGUUGAUUAUUUAAUAUUGAUGAUUUGCAGUAUGAGAAUUUAUUUUUUAGGUUUCCUUAGAUUUAGUGAUAGUUUUAAGUAUUGGUAAAAUUUGUGCCAGCAACCGCGGUUAUACAAUAGAUGUAAAUAAACAUUCAUAGAUUCGUAGUUAUAUAUGCAGAUAUAUAAUGUAUUUUGUUUAUUUUAUGGUGAAAUUUGAAUUUUCUAUUAAUUAUUUUUUUUUGUAUUUUGAAGCUAUGAAAUCUUUUAUAUUAAACUAGGAUUAGAUACCCUAUUAUUAGAGAUGUAAAAUUUUUAUUCUUGAGUAGUAUUAGUUGUGAUCUUGAAACUUAAAGAAUUUGGCGGUAUCUUAGUCCGUUUAGAGGAAUCUGUUCCGUGAUCGAUAAUCCGCGCUGGAACUUACUUAGUUGAGGUUUAUAUACCGCCGUUUUACUGAAAAUCUUUUUAGAGUUAGUAAUUUUCUUUUUUUUAGUUAGAUUAUAUUUCAGGUCAAGGUUUAAUUUAUAAUUAAGUGGAAAUGGAUUACAAUAAUUUUUGAUUAUACGGAUGAUUAGUUGUAAUAUUAAUGUGAAGGUGGAUUUAAUAGUAAUUUUAUUUAGUAUAUUGAGAUGAUUAAGGCUCUAAGAUGUGUACACAUCGCCCGUCGCUCUCGUUAUUUAAGAUGAGAUAAGUCGUAACAUAGUAGUGGUACUGGAAAGUGUUGCUAGAGUGAUAG